GAACACUGAAGUUAAGCAGUGUUGAGUCUGGUCAGUACCUAGAUGGGAGACCACUUGUGAAUACCUGGUGCUGUAAG